GAUGAACGCUGGCGGCGCGCCUAACACAUGCAAGUCGAACGGUUAAAGCACCUUUUAGGUGUGUAUAAAGUGGCGAACGGCUGAGUAACACGUGGGCAACCUGCCCUCCUCUUGGGGAUAGCCUCGGGAAACCGAGGAUAAUACCCGAUACUUCAAUGUGGCCGCAUGACGACAUUGAGAAAGCUUUUGCGGAGAAGGAUGGGCCCGCGGCCUGUUAGCUUGUUGGUGGGGUAGAGGCCUACCAAGGCAAUGAUGGGUAGCUGGGUUGAGAGACCGACCAGCCAGAUUGGGACUGAGACACGGCCCAGACUCCUACGGGAGGCAGCAGUGGGGAAUCUUGCACAAUGGGCGAAAGCCUGAUGCAGCGACGCCGCGUGCGGGAAGAAGGCCUUCGGGUUGUAAACCGCUUUCAGCAGGGACGAGGCGUAAGUGACGGUACCUGCAGAAGAAGCCCCGGCUAACUACGUGCCAGCAGCCGCGGUAAUACGUAGGGGGCAAGCGUUAUCCGGAUUCAUUGGGCGUAAAGCGCUCGUAGGCGGUCUGUCAGGUCGGGAGUUAAAUCCGGAGGCUCAACCUCCGCCCGCUCCCGAUACCGGCAGACUUGAGUUUGGUAGGGGAAGGUGGAAUUCCUAGUGUAGCGGUGGAAUGCGCAGAUAUUAGGAAGAACACCAGUGGCGAAGGCGGCCUUCUGGGCCAUAACUGACGCUGAGGAGCGAAAGCUAGGGGAGCAAACAGG
rnacentral:rRNA from 1 species